GAUGAACGCUGGCGGCGUGCCUAAUACAUGCAAGUCGAGCGAACAGACGAGGAGCUUGCUCCUUCGACGUUAGCGGCGGACGGGUGAGUAACACGUAGGUAACCUACCUAUAAGACUGGGAUAACUUCGGGAAACCGGAGCUAAUACCGGAUAAUAUUUCGAACCGCAUGGUUCGAUAGUGAAAGAUGGCUUUGCUAUCACUUAUAGAUGGACCUGCGCCGUAUUAGCUAGUUGGUAAGGUAACGGCUUACCAAGGCAACGAUACGUAGCCGACCUGAGAGGGUGAUCGGCCACACUGGAACUGAGACACGGUCCAGACUCCUACGGGAGGCGGCAGUAGGGAAUCUUCCGCAAUGGGCGAAAGCCUGACGGAGCAACGCCGCGUGAGUGAUGAAGGUCUUCGGAUCGUAAAACUCUGUUAUUAGGGAAGAACAAACGUGUAAGUAACUGUGCACGUCUUGACGGUACCUAAUCAGAAAGCCACGGCUAACUACGUG
rnacentral:rRNA from 1 species